UAGGGAGACCUACUUUUGAGUAGAGUGCCAAAUCCAACAAAAAUAGCACCAUCAAAAGUCAUCCCAGGUCGUUACGAGAAAAAUGAAAAACACAACAACAGCUUUCAAACUCGGAAGUCCGGUUCAAAACCNUAGGACAAUUCAGCACCUAGCUUCAAUCAAAAAGAAGCCAGAAUGCUGGACUAACAAGUCCAGACAGAACCUUGAAAAUUGCAGAGAAACAAAAACUGGCAGUAGUUCGUAGUUAGAACUUUGAGCCAUGGGAAGGGAAACCAACCCAAAAGCCAAAGAGAUAACCACA
rnacentral:misc_RNA from 1 species